AGGAAGAGGAGGAAAAGAAAAAUAUAUAUUAAAAAAAAAAAAAGAAACAAACAAACAAAAAAAAAAGAAACAAAAAAAAGAAGAGAAAGGAAAUGAGAGGCGGAAAAAAUGGGGGAAAAGACAACUUUCAGAGACUGGAAUUAAAACCCGAGCCCGAGGCCCGUCCUGCCGCAGCUCCGGGGACGCCCAGGACACCAGGCUGGACGUGGGCUCACCCUACCUGCUGCUCGUUUUCUGACUCACAAAUUGUCUCUGGCCCUGGUGAGAGUUCAUGGGAACAUCCUGCUCAGAUUGGCUCAUUGUUACAUGAAUCAGGAGUGGGGGUUAUAAGGAAAACCCCACCCUCCAAAAAGCAUGAGGAGCUGCCAGCAGGACCUUGUCUAGAGGGACCCUCAGCAGAAGCCCCUCACCACGGCUGAUCCCACCUCAUCCUCCUCCUCCUCCUCCUCUCCCUGCUCUGCUGGCAGACCCCGGCCUGGAGCAUGAUGUGGAUCCUGAUUUACACCAGUGCCUGUCCAGGCUGACCAGGGCUGCUGACCAGGGCUGCUGACCAGCACCGGGCCUCGGCGUGGGGACACAGCACCAACACAGGCACAGACAGGGUGCAGAGGACACCAGGACAUGCCCACCCUGCCCACUGCCCUGUGGGGCACUCGCUGCAGCUCUGAGAAGAUCCCGUGCCUCCUUUCAUUUCCUCAGGACACCUGACUGUGCUUUUUCACCCGUCCAUGGGUGUCAUCUGGAUGUGCCCAUGAACCAGGAGCUGGCAGCUUGCUCUUGGACCUUCAAAGCUGGCUCAGCAAGGUCCGAGUGGCCGUGUUCCAGUCACGGCCCUGUCAGCUCCCUUUCCUUUUCAGGGAUUAGGAUGAGGCAAAAACCUUCAGUCUGGUUUAAUCCUCGGUACCUGAUUCUGCAGGAGCCUGCUGGCACACACGCAGCACACACACAUCUCAGUAAUAGCCAGGUAACUCGCAGGGCUAAAUCACUCUGGGUUUUUUUUUCAUUAUAACCUCCUUUUAAAGCACAUUUAAAUGCUUCCCUGCAGGCUCAUGUGAGGGCUGUUAAGGGCUUCAUUUGAAUAAAUAAGGGCACAGGUAGAGGAGGAACAUCACCACAGCCCCUGGAAACCCAGCGCCAGCCAUGGCAGCAGUGGGCUGGCGAGUGGCGAAGGGCCUCGAUGUUAUAUAUUCCAUAAAGUAGAGUAAUUAAGUAUUACUAGUUUUGAUGACUUCAAACAGAGUGACUCCAGGAAAUAAGCCCCUUCUUUAUAAUUAGUGGGAUUUCCUCUGCAUCAAACGGAGAGAUUGAUUCUUUAAUCUGCUCACAUGCUUUUGAUUUGGUCUUUCAGCUGCUUGUACCAACUGCUUCUACUCCCUGCUCUUGCCGAUAAAACCUUGCAAAGGAGAUUUUAGGAAGGCAUGACCGGAGUUGAGGUCCAGGAUUUUCUUUGUGUGUGGCUGUUUUGUGAAUUCCUAAUUUGCCAGAGAUGAUGAUCAUGAUGAUAACAAUAAUAAAAAAAAUAACACAGACAUGGCUAUUAAACAUCCCCUAUGUUUAGGUAAAUAAUUGUGGUUUGGGGUUUUGUUUAUUGUCUUCUCAGCACACCUCUUAGCUCUAGAUCGUGCUCUUCAACACCUGAAAAGGUAAUUUUGGCUUCCUGUCUGCAGGUGGGCUGGCCCACGUUGGGCUCACUGCAUAAUGUUUCUGUUGUAAGAGCACACCCCUAACGCCAGGUCUGCUGGCAUCCCAAGGGCUCCACUGGAGUUCGGGCUGGACCUGUGCAGGGUGUCUUUGGAUAUUUCAGGGUUUGGACCUGUUUUAGAACUAAACACUUGGAAAACUUUGUCUGAAAUGAAACAGAUUGUGGCUGCCCCAUCCCUGGGAGUGUCCAAGGCUGGACAGGGCUCAUGGCAGGGGUAGAACGAGAUGAGCUUUCAGUCCCUUCCAAUCCAAACCAUUCCACAAUUCUAUGAAAAUCCCUGCAAAUGUUGCUGGUUUCCAAAUGAAGAGUUGAGGAUGGAGUGGGAACUUGCCCCCUGCAAGUGCAAGAAGCUGCUGGUGAGCAACCAGCUCCUUCCUGGGCGUCUCCAUGGGGUCAGUGGUGCUGCAUCAGUCAUCUGGGAAAUGUGGCCUGGGGUCUGUGCUGGGUCCAGGCAUGGACUAAACCUCCCACGUGCUUCUCCCACCUCCAAAGCAGCUCAGACCUUGAAUCACCUCAGCAAACAGCCCCUGGCUGGCUUUUCUUCUGGCUUGUGAGGUUCUUCUGGGACUGCUGAGGACAUAAAAAACGGGGGAAAUUUGGAGUGUGCUGCUUUCCAUCCACCUUUUUAUGCUGUUGGAAAUAUUCAGGAUGGGCAAGAGAGGCUGGUGGGCCUCACAUCCAUCCCAGAGGAUGAGAAUGAGAGGACAAAGGCUCUGUUUUGGCAGCUGCAGGGCAGGGCCUGGCACCGCUCUCGGUGUGUCCCCCACAAACAAGGUGGGAAGGGCAAACGGGGCUGUGCCACCCCUGGUGGUGGCACCAGCCUGCAGGGAGGGGACGGAUCCUCCUGGGCUCACCUGGAGGCCGAGCAGGAGCAGGAAUGCUGCGAGCAGUGGUUGGUAUGCCCCGCACAAGCCUCCCCGCGUCGGGAGCGGUGUCGAACACAGAUCGUAUAAUUAGGGACCCAGUGAAUACGUAACUGUGCAUUAUGCAAAUAGUGAUCAAAAUCACUGUUUUCAGCAGAAAUGCCUGAAGAUCAAGACAGAAGCUUCAUGCAACCUUAAUUUAAUCUGGUCCUGCAGGAGUGGGGAGGUCUGAUGGAUGACCCAACCUUGUGCCUGCCCGUGUUUAGCAAGGCUGGGGUGGGAGGCGGGGGGAGGAGUGCUGGAGCAUGCUAAGCGAGGGGGAAAUGGCACUGAAAUCAUGUUAGCAAACAGGGAAAAAAGGGCAGAAAGAGCUGAUGUUUACAGUAAUUUUA